UUGAUGCAGUGAAAUCCGACUUUCGAACAUUACAAUCAGAUUUACGAGCAGUGAAAAGUGAGGUUCAAACAGUCAACUCGUCUCUGCAAGAAGUCUCGAUCAUGAAGUCGGAUGAACAACAAACAGGAAACAAGGUUGAUAACUUGGCCUCCACAGUGGAAGGUCUGGAGAGUAAAUCUGAAAAAGUUGAAGAACACAUUGGG